rnacentral:rRNA from 1 species
AUUGAACGCUGGCGGCAGGCCUAACACAUGCAAGUCGAGCGGAUGAAGGGAGCUUGCUCCUGGAUUCAGCGGCGGACGGGUGAGUAAUGCCUAGGCAUCUGCCUGGUAGUGGGGGAUAACGUCCGGAAACGGGCGCUAAUACCGCAUACGUCCUGAGGGAGAAAGUGGGGGAUCUUCGGACCUCACGCUAUCAGAUGAGCCUAGGUCGGAUUAGCUAGUUGGUGGGGUAAAGGCCUACCAAGGCGACGAUCCGUAACUGGUCUGAGAGGAUGAUCAGUCACACUGGAACUGAGACACGGUCCAGACUCCUACGGGAGGCAGCAGUGGGGAAUAUUGGACAAUGGGCGAAAGCCUGAUCCAGCCAUGCCGCGUGUGUGAAGAAGGUCUUCGGAUUGUAAAGCACUUUAAGUUGGGAGGAAGGGCAGUAAGUUAAUACCUUGCUGUUUUGACGUUACCAACAGAAUAAGCACCGGCUAACUUCGUG